rnacentral:lncRNA from 1 species
UUGGAGCUCAAGGAUACAUCUCCUCAAAGAAUCGGCCAGCUAGGGGGUAUGCUUAAGGAUUUGAGGUAAACCAAUUUCCUAACUCUUGAUUCUUGUGGUAAAACAUAUGAUUGAUGAUUGGAAGUUGAAUCUAACUAGCUAGGAACUGAUUUGAACGGCUGGAAAUUCGUUUGAUUGGGUGGAAUUUAAAUGAACUUCAAGUGUUCCUUUUCUGUCAAGAUUUCUGUCCGAAAUUAGUCUGAAAAUUCGAACAUGUUGGGAGCUGAUUUGGCCUUAGUCCAAAACAUGAAAGUUGUAGGGAAUGAUGUUUUAUAGGUGCCUGCAAAAUUUCAGCUCAAUCGGAGUAACGUAGGACAUGAAAAGUCCAAAAUACCCUUACUAUUUUAAGUAUUUCCCAAGCAGUCCGUGUGAUCACUUAAGUCCAGUUUAUCACAUUUUUCGACUAGGAUCCAUUCUGAUUUAGCUUUUUACCAAAACAUGAAAGUUGUAGUAUUCUGAAUUAGCUUUCAAAUGCCUCUAAGAACACCUGAUUCGGACUUGUGUACUCUGAGAUAUGUCCAUUACAGUGUUCUGCAUUUAAACAGCCGACGAAUUGGUUUCUGGUUUAGUAAUUUGAGAAUUUGACUAAGUUACAUUAGGAACUGGACUAAGUGACCUUCAUGAAUGUUGUAGCUCUGUGUCUUAGCUUCGAAACGGCAUAGGUUUCGUCUCAAUCCGAUAAGCGUAGCUUCGGAUAUGUUAUUUCCGCAUUCGUACGUCAAAUCUGUCUUGUGCUAAGUUGAAUUUCUGCACUUGUGAUUGUUGUAAUUCUUAUUCUUAUGAUAUUGUGAGCCUAUGGAAUGGCUCUUGACUUGAAUUGCUUAUGUGUGAUGUUGGGUUGUGGUUGAGGAAAAAUAAUGAAGCCAAAAUGGCUGGAAAAUUAGGUAAACACAAAGGGCGUGCUGCCCAAAUUUUCGCUCGAGGGUUAGAUUUCUAUUUGAACUUGUAUACUUUUUUUUGGCCAAUACCAUGACCGGUUUUCCAUUUUAAAACAUGAUUGUUCAUCCUGGGGUUCAAACAACCCUCUUCUUACUUGAAAGUCAUCUUUACACGUUUUACUCCUAAUUAGUCGGGUUUCUUUGUUUCCCUUAAAUGUUUUGCUCGAUAAACUGUAAUAUGUUCUCUUGUUCAACCCUAGGUUUCAUUGGUGACUAAGGGUAAUAUCCGAAAGGAUAUUUUGCACGUUAUUUUGUAUAUCUAGGUGAGUGUUCCUUAUUUGACUUUAUGGCUUGUUGUUAUCAUUUGCUAAUGUGUUAAUUGCUUUUAAUGAUUUCCAAAACGAGUUUUCUAGGCGAGUGUGUACUUUAUCGCACUCGACCUAAAUAACUGUGUAAUUUUCAAGGAUUUAAUGAUUGAAAUGUUACUUGCGCAUGAAUGUAAGCCUUUUGGGCUGAACUGGCCAUUGCCACUUGUUACCGGUCGUCUCGACCCAGAAGCGAACUCGGUCGGGCGAUUAGGGACUUGGGUGAACGUUUGGUAUACUCGAGUAUUACCCUGUAGGUUGGUGGAGACUGGCCAACGGCCAGGACGGGGGUGAAUGAAUGAAUGAACGAACGAACGAACGAACGAGGGUUUAUUGAUAAACAAAAAGCGCAUUUUCAAAUGAUUGGAGGAAUAAGGGGAAAUGUCAGGAGAAUGAAUGAACGAAUGAACGAAUUGCUCCUUGUGAGCCGUAUCCUUUUAAUGAAUGUUACUAUUGCUUUCCAUUGUAAAUGUUUCUUGAAUUAUUGAUACUCCAUGUUUAAUGUAUUGAAUUGAUUGUUUGAUUAUCUGUUUGGAACCUCACGGAGCUUUUAGCUCACCCCUUUAGUUUUGUUUUCCUUAAUAGGGGACGGCGAGCAGGAUGAGAGCAUAGACUAGCCUAGUCUAGGUCUUUUGUUUCUUUUGUAAUGGUUCUCGCCCUAGUGCUUGGCACGGGCU